GUGUGUGUGUGUGUGUGUGUGUGUGUGUGUGUGUGUGUGUGUGUGUGUGUGUGUGUGUGUGUGUGUGUGUGUGUGUGUGUGUUGGGGGGGGAGACGACAAUGUACUUCUGUACCCAUAACAAAAAAUGUAAAUAAAAGUUCACAGACAAAAGAGUUGAGUGAUUUCUGGUGUCCUGUAGAUGAAUGUGUGUGUAGUGUUGUUUUGUUUCUGUGUGUAGUGUGUUAUCAGGUCAUCAGUAUCACACUGUACUCUAAUAUUAUUGUUAUAUUAAAUAUAUCAAAAAAUCUAUAUAUAAAAAAAAAAUCUUAUAUCAAAAAAUGACUUUUUUUUUCAGAGGUCCGCACAGAACUCUCUAUACGACAGGUUGAUCCUUUUUCAUCCAGAUCUUUCUAAAUUGUUUUUUCCUGGAUACUGAUGAUGUGAUAAUUUUCCUCUCUUAUGAUUGGCUCACAGUGAAGGUUCACUUCAGUGCCUGGGACUUUCCAGGCUGACUUGUUGUGGUUUCGGUUAGUUUUUGCCGGUUUUUCAAAACUAGAGCCACAGUUUGGCGUCAUUAAGGUUGUGUUAUCACUUUAUAUAAGCUGUUUGUGAUAUUAAAUUAUUACAGAGAUCAGAAAUACAAUAGCAGCAUAUUGUUAUCAGGCAACAAAAAAAUAAUCAGAAUCUUGUUAGUAUGAGAAAGCAUCAGAUCACAAAAUGACUUCUUGUACUUGAGAUGUUUUCUUCUUAAAAUUAAGAAUGUUUUCUGGUCAGGGUUGAUGGUGAGAUGGAAGGUGCUACGUUCAGGACGAUCCUUAAAGAAAACCUGCUCCAGUCUGAUGUGACCAUAAAGGUGGAGCUUCACCUUCUGAAUAACUCAGACCUCGAUCUGAGAAUCUGUGCUGAGGCCGAAAACUGAGUUCACCAACCGUAAACAAUAUGGAAUCUCCAUCCUUCCAUCCACCUAUCCAUCCAUCCAGAAGCUUCAGAAAUGCCAUGCUAUUAAUACAUUAAUUAACUGAUUAUUUGUGGAGUCCAGCAGAGAUAUGAAGCUCAGUUCACAGGAGGACCGACCGACAUCAUCAUCUGCUGCUUUCUUCUCCUCUGAUGAUUUUCCAGGUUUGUAUUUCAGCUUCAUUCAGUUGUUGUGUUGGAGUUUCUCCAUUCAGUCUCUUCUUCAGGAGCUGAAAUGCUGCUCAGUUGGGUUCAGGUCUGAUUCACUUGUCCAGUCUAAAACAUUCUACUUUCCCCCUGAUGAAGUCCUGUGUUGUGUGUCAGCAUGUUUUGGAUCAUCGUCUUGCUACAUGACGAACUUCCUCCUGAUUAAUAUAGAUGCAUUUCUCUGUAUGAGUGAAUGUUGCCAGACAAAAGAAUCCUGAACAUUUUCCUGAAUUCAUUCUGCUGCCAUCAUCAUGAGCUUCAUCAUUAAUAAAGAUAUAAUUUAUAAUUUAAUAAGUGAGAAUGUUCCAGAAGCAGCCAUGCAAGCCGACGACAUGACACCACCACCACCGUGCUUCACAGAUGGGUUUCAGAUCAUGAGCAGAUUCUUUCUUUCUCCACACUUUGGUCUUUCCGUGACAUUAGUAGAGUUUCAUCUUAGUUUCAUAACUUUCUCUGUAUUUCUGUGUGAAUUCUAAUCUGGUCUCCUGAUUCUUGCUGAUGGAGGGAUUCGUAUCUUGUGCCCUUUACAUUUUUGUUCUAGGUUCACACCCAUAUUAAUGAUUAAUCUUCAUGUUGGUUUGUUCUUUUUAACACUUUCACUUGUAAACUGGAGGAGAAAACCAAGAGCUGAUGUUCAGAGCACCUGAGAGACAAGAAAAACCUAAAUGUCUGUCACGUGUCCCAAUACUUUUGAAACUAUGUGUUCUUGGUUUAUAUCGUUAAACACCUCUUCAUAUGAAUAAAAGAAAACAAAGUCUGGAAUUCUAAACUCUC